rnacentral:rRNA from 1 species
CCCUUAGAUGUUCUGGGCCGCACACGCGCUACACUGAAGGAGGCAGCGUGUACUCCUGGAUCGAAAGAUUUGGGUAACCCGCGAAUCUCCUUCGUGCUAGGGAUUGAGGUUUGCAAUUAUCCUUCAUGAACGAGGAAUUCCCAGUAAGUGCAAGUCAUAAGCUUGCGCUGACUACGUCCCUGCCCUUUGUACACACCGCCCGUCGCUACUACCGAUUGAAUGAUUUAGUGAGGACUUCGGACUGGGACCGAUGCGGCUUUCGGGCUGCGUCGGUAUUCUGGAAAGAUGUCCCAACUGUAUCAUUUAGAGGAAGUAAAAGUCGUAACA